UCACUUCCUGUUAAGCAGUUUUAUCACCGCCACACAAAACUGGGCUACCAAUAAACUCACCAACUAGAUUAAAAGAUCCAGAAUUUAGAAACACUCUAUUGUAUACUUAUUGUGAGCCUGAUGAAUGCCACAAGCUGAAACUGAGCGAGCUCACAAUAGAGUGGUGAGCUCUGGGCCUUGGGCCGCUGUAGAGUCGGCAGAGGUUUCUGGUACAACUGCUUUCAAAGUGCACGGAGAAAAGAAACCGUCAUAAAAGGUCAUAACUCCAGCAACACUUGUGGUAGUCUCACAUUGUCAGACCUAUCUCAACAGGGCUGUGGAGAAAGGUCUGGCCACACCACAUACUGUCUGUAUUCUGGUAAUGGAGCUCAAAGGUUCUGGUUGUUUUCUGUAGCAAAGUGAUUUUGAGAACGGAAACAUGCAGAGAGCUGAAGGAGAUGAUCCUGGAUCCAUUGAUCUCGGGUACCCUUCUGGUAACAACACUUCAUUGUGAGACCAACGUGUUUGGACUUGUAGCCUCUGAUGGUCUUGAGCCCCGCUACUGCCCCGGGAACCGAAAAGCCACAAGUUGUAGGGAUCCAUCUGCACCCCUGAUUGCUUUAUUCACACACAACAACCGUGACAAUGACGACAAAAAUCAUCACUUACUUUUUGCAAAUUCCAAUUUCAAUCAGAAAGUAGGAAAAAUAAAAGAAGAAUGUGAAGCUGAAGCUGCAGUUGGCUGGAAGAUGAAGAUAAUGUGUCUGUUUCAUUUCCAUUUAUUAUCACAGCACAGCACAGUCAACUCAUGAAAUAACUCUGUAUUACUGCUCAAGGAUGACCAAAAUGACCAAAAUCCACCCAAUCGUCUAACUAAUUGAUGAUUGAUCAGGCAAUUAAAUCAGUCAUAAUGACCAUUCUCAAACUAACCAUCAGACAAUGGAAAAUGUAGGUUAAUUCCAAAAUUAGUUGGUGGCUAAACCUGCGCUUUGUCUGCCAAAUGUAACACAGCCUGGACAAAUGUGUUCACUGAACUCAAAGACACGAAACUGAUCGACUCCUAGU